GAGCCAUUAGCUCAGUAGGUAGAGCAUCUGACUUUUAAUCAGAGGGUCGGAGGUUCGAGUUCCUCCAUGGCUCACCA
rnacentral:tRNA from 1 species